UCUGCAGCAGGACAGAAGGAGAGAGCCACUGGCUUGUCAGGAAGGCAGAAGACUCAGCAGCCCUCUCCCAUCCUGGCCCACCCGCCCAGUGCUGCUGUGGGAAGAACUCCCCACGCAGCAGUGAGGUGCAGGUUGGGCCCUUGCAGCCAGGGUUUAGGGGUCAGCAGGACCCCACCCCAAGGAAGGCCAGGCCCAACAGCAGGACAUGGAAGUGCCCAGCCCACCCAGGUCCCAGACAGACUUUGGCAGCAGAGCUGACAGGUAGUCAGAAGGCAAGGCUGAAUGACCUAUAAUUCAGCCCACUUCUGUAGUCUGGAGACCAGGUACCUGGGCUGGGCUGGGAGAUCCUCCCACUAGCCCAUCCAAGUAUUGGGACAGAAGAGGGAAGGAGGAGCUGUCCAAGCCAGACACACCUACUGGCAUGGAGGCCAGAAAAGAGGGUGGCAGAAGACAGGGCAGCCAGUGCCCAGAAGAGAUCCCAGGGAAGGAAUUUGGAGCCCAGAAAGGGGCUCUCUGGAGAGAACAAGGAGCAAGUGCUCAUGCAGGGAGACAUAGGCUACCCCAGAACAAGUGAAUACAAGAGACCUUCCCUCCAGCAAUGCUCAUCUCAGGCCUGAAGACAUUCUUUCAAAGCAUACCUCCCAGAGGGCUUUAAGACAGACACGACCUUUGAGAGCAUCAGCAGAGAAAGAAAGGAAGGUCCUCAACAUAGGAGUAACAGACAAGGACUGGAACACAAAGAAGACAGACCAGGUCUGACUGACUCAAACCCCAUGGACCCCAUCAUGGAUGCUGGAGUGCUGAUGAGUUUCUGUUCAAAGGUCAAAAGGUAGGACACUUAUAAGGCCCCUCUGGGGUAGUCUCAAGAAGACCCUAAAGGCACUCAAGAGCUGCCAACGGACGGGACCAAGACUGCAGUCUGGCUCAUACUAGAUCUGUCCUCUGCCCUCUCAGCUGGCCCCAAGCCUCUAAGACUGUGACACUAGAGUAGGCUGUCACCAUGGAAAUCAAUGCCAGUUCUUCUCAGCCCCCUAGAAACUUUUCAAUCUCUUCUUUGUCUUGGUGAACAAAAGGCCCUUCUCCCACCAACCAACAGCACACUGGCCAGCCAGUCAGCCCCCACAACUGCCCAAGAUCUACCGAUGCAUACCAAUAUCUCUGUCUGCACCCCCCCACCCCCAACACACACACCAGUGCCUGGAGGACCUAACCAGAGGCUACCACAGUAUCUUGCUGAAACCUUGUGGGACUCUUGUGGAGGCGGGAAUAAAGGAUCUAUCACCUAGCAACAACAGAGUCCAGCGUCACAUCCCAGAAGAUGUGCUCCCAUGGGCCAGUAACUAGAGAACAAAAUCCAUCUAUACCCACCCAGAACUCCAGAGAGCAUGAGGGGGAGAGGGUCCCCUAACACACGUGUGCUUUGACUUACAUAUUAUUUUGCUGUUUCACUUACAUGAAAACAAAGAGAUAAAAUGAAAACCCCUAUUUCUAGCUCUAGUCAUAACACUGCCAUUCUGAAACAGAGGGCCCAUCCUUCUGAACAAUGCUAAUGGCUCAGAGCCAGCACCACUGAGGGCUGACCGCAUUUAUUCCCACCAUCCCCAUCUCUUCCCCCUGCUGCCUGGCUGGCCAACUGUCGGGCCCUGCCAGGCUUAGGCUAGAUAGACUCUCACAGAAAAGAAACCAAACAGUAGCAGGCUGAGGAGGGGGCAAGGCUAGGCCCCAAACUUUCCCCCACCCAAAUCUCCAACUUGGCCCAAUCAGGUCUCUCUAGGCCCAGAAAUGCAUUGGCAGGCAGGCAGGCAGGCGAAGGAAAGUCAUAUUUAAGGUUAAUACCUGUGGAGGUUUCCAUUUGUCUCCUGCUGCCACCACUGCCGCCGCCGCCGCUGCAGCCGCUGCUGCUGGCUCCGACCCCCCUCCUUGUUGGCCAUUGACCUGCUGCAGGCAGGAGGGAAAUAUAAGUAGUCAUACAACCUAUCACCCAGACCCUCUCCUCGUCCAAAGCUGAAGGUUGCCUUCCCAUCUAGAAUAAGGGAAGCUGGGCAAGGGUUAAGAAGGUCCACUGAGUCUUAAUCACCCCCACCUUGCACUGCCCUUAUACCCUCUAGCCUGCCAGCACAUACACAGCUCCCCAGGUACGGACAGAAAGCAGAGCAGCAGCUGGGCCAGGCCCAAGUUGACAGUCUUCUGGCAUGAGACAAGAAGAAAAGGACAGAAGCAAGCAGUGUUCUAGCCCAAGGCCAAAGAAAGCCACCCUUCUCUGCUGACAGACUGAGCCAUAUUAGAUGUCAGGGUGACCAGCUGGCUGUGUUCCCCCAUCCUUCCCAUGGAAGCAAGAACACUGCUUCCAUCACUUGGGCUAGGCCUCUUAGCUCAACAUCCAUUCCAGUAAUUUCAUGAGCUCUGGGCAAAUCCAGGCCUCCCUCACCCAGCAGACAAAGUGAAAAAACUGUCCUAGAAUGACAGCUGAGAGCUUGGCUCUCACCAUCAGAAGGGACACAGAGAACACCUGUCCAAGGCAGCCCUCAAGAGGUGGAGCUCUUAUCAAGCCUGUGGUGUCCCUGUCACCUAAUAGACCUCAGGUAAAGGUAGGCAAUAUAGUAAGGAGUGGGAUGUGAUAGAAGGGCCCUAAAGUCCACCCAACUUCUCAGAAGACCGCAGUAACAAAAGAAUGUGCUUACCCUACCAUGAGCUAAAGUACAUGAUCCACAAGUACCAAAAGACAUAGAAAGAUAGUUGUGCCCAUUUUUAGAAAGAAAGCCAGAGGCUGGCAACUUGGACAAAGUCCCUCAGGUCAUCAGGCUACUGGAGGGACUGGCAGCAGAACCUAAUGCACUACGAAGACCUUGUGAUGGAAGCAGAAUCUAUGGCUAACACAGCCUAUUUGUGGUAGCUCCUGGUGCUACCAACAUUGAGUGUGCUCUUCUGUCUGUUCCAGUGUGACUCAGAAUGAUAUCCCAGAGAAAACCAGAGGAGUGGUGACUCCUGUGGCACAGGUAUCCGCAGAACAAGAGGCUGCUUCUCAACACCCACAGUGAAAGCAUGCUUCAGGCAUGAGCCAGACACUGAGAUUGUUGUCCCUGGGGCACAUGUAUGACUUUCUGCCUCUCCAAAUGAGUAGCCACCUAGGGACAGGAAUAGUGCUGAAAGCAGCAGACAAUGCACGUGCACAAUCCCAGAGAAAGCUCACCUGUGGAUACUACAUAGGACCCAAUUUAGCCUAUUUACCACAGCAGAGUUCUCCAAUAGAGUCUAACACUCUGUUCUAUGCAGUCACUGGGAGAGCCUAGAGAAAACUAUCAUUUGUUAUCAUAGCUGGUCACACUAAUAUGCGUCUCAGCCUUGGUGCAUGGAGAGAGGGGAAGAUCCCUUGAGGGGUUUGAAGCUGAGUGUCUCAGGUAUGCAAGCCAAGCUCUGCCCUUCACCAGUUCAGAAAAAAGUUACUUCAAUUACAAAGCAUAUUAAAUAACCUGAGCAAGUCACCUAAAAUCUAGGCCUGAAUCUCCUUUUUUUUUUUUUUUUUGUUCUUUUUUUCGGAGCUGGGGACCGAACCCAGGGCCUUGCGCUUCCUAGGCAAGCGCUCUACCACUGAGCUAAAUCCCCAAGUCCCUGAAUCUCCUCUUAUGCAGGGGCAUGGCCUAUCUUUCAGGCAGCAGCCAAGAGUUACGGAAUCAUUUUCCAUGAAGUCCCUUAAGACUCUGCAUAUGGAAAGCAAGCCACAGGUUCUAGCAAUAUUAGUACCAUUGAGAGCAGUGCCAGGCCCCAAGAAUAGGACUGGCUGAAGGACGCUGUCUUCCAUCUGUUCAGGUCCCUUCAAGGGUAUAGUGCUACUUCCUGGGUAGCCAAGCUUGUGCUGAGCACUGUGGAUGUAGCAAAACAAGAGACAGACAAUUCUCGGGACUCAUGGUCAGAUGCUGGCAAAGACUAUUCCAGCUGCUUCAGUGGUGAGACUACUGUUUGAGCCCAUCUCAACAAUGACACCAACUUUCAGUAGUGUCGGGCUAACCUUUCAGUCAUCAGGGGCUACCCAAAAAUGAGGUAUCCGCUCUCUACCAGUGCUGUUCAAAGUAUUUUAUAUUCUGCCCUCCCCCUUCUUCUAUCAUCUGACAGUCACCUAAGAGCAGCCAUCAAGCUCUCAACUCUCUGGUUGUCUUUACACGAAGACCAUUUACACCUGUAGCUUCAAGAAUCGGAGUGUUAUUUUUUUUUCUUUUUUCUUUUUUUCGGAGCUGGGGACCGAACCCAGGGCCUUGCCUUUGCUAGGCAAGCGCUCUACCACUGAGCUAAAUCCCCAACCCCGGAGUGUUAUUUUUCAAAAGGUAGCCUUGAUGUGAGUGGUACACACUAGAUCUAUCCCUCGCAGGCUGGAGCAAGUGCCCCUCUCCCAAUAUGAAGGUGCAGUCCCCAGCUAAGGCUGAGGAAUGACAGCCUGUCUACACUACUUGACCCUACCGUAGUCUGACCUGUAGGCAUCUGCUUAAGUAGUCUCAGACCUCUGAAUGAGGGUGGCAGCUAAUAAAAGACUGGACUGCAAUGGGGGUCCAAGAGAUAAGUAGUUCCUAAAGCAAGUGGGGAGGAAGACUUGUGGUAGUCACUCUUGGUACAUUCCUGACUGACCAGGGAAAACGCUGAGCAGGGCUGAACAAAACAAGGGGUGAGCAGUGUCUUAUGAUGCCCACCAGACCAGUGACGGAGGUAGGCACUGACGGGGGUUCUCCAACAGAGCCAGGGACAGAAAGACUGUCUGAAAGGUGUGGAGGAUGUUUUCCCCCUCCUGAGUGGUAAUAGAAUGGGAAACCCGUUUCUCUGUGCACCAUGGCGUAGAGCAAGUGCCAGUGGGCCCGCCCCUUCCGCGUCCCCAAUAAGGGGCGCAGUCGCGCAGGUCUGGAGCAGGCGCCAGGGCUCCCAGACGCCUAGACAACUGUCGCCCAGCCUCAGCAAAAAGAGGACCGCCCCGCCGGAAUCCAGCUGGGCAGCCCGCGGCCGGCCCACCCCGCCCAGCUGCCGGAAACUGAAGUCCUCGAGCCGGAAGCUGCAGCCAAGCCACAGCCGCGCGCUCCCGCUCCGCCUCCGCCCCGCGUGCCGGUGACCACCAGAAAGCCCGUAUGAGGCCGGGUCAAGCCAAUGCGCACCCAGGGGCCCCUCCGCACCCUGUUCCGGCCUACGACUCACUCCUACCAGUUGACGGCCGCUCCCGGCCGCGAGGGAUUCACUUACGAGAGCUAUAGUUGCCGUCGCCAUCUUGCGUCCGUCGCGGCCGCCGCGCGCGCCACAAGCAUCAGCUCCCUCCGCAGUCUCGCGCGAUCUGGGCGCCGGACGCGGAAUUCUCGCGAUACACGACCUAGCUACGUGAGUGGAGACCGGAACGUAUUUCCGGGGCGGAGCAGGCAUUUAAUGUUCCGGAGGAGAACGGAUCGGCCGGGGUAGUGAAGUGGAGACCCGGAGAGCCCUCCCGCGUUUGGGGGAACGGGGAGGGGGGGCGUGGUCAGCAUUUUUAAAUCAGUUCCGUCUGCCUAUUUUACUAGCACCCUAUUCCAUUUAAGUUCAUUCACUGAGAGCGAGAAAGAGGCCGAUUUCUUCUUUUCGUAGACAGCUGAGGCAGAAGACAAAAAGAUUGAUGCAUCCAUCGCCUUUGCAUUAUCCAUCUAAAGUCAAGAGUCCUCAUUUAUUUUGAAAUAUGACCUGUCCUAGUGAGAAAGUAGCCUUUUAGAGCGUUUGACUUGCAGAUAGACCCAAAAGAUGGUUCCCCAGCCAGUCCUGCGGACAUAAAUGUGCACGUUAGUCCCCGAGUCCUGAGCUAUGAAUAAAUCUAUUUUCAUCUGUGCUGCGAGGAGUUGCUCUGACGUUUACCUUGAGCUUCACUCAGUACCAAGAUCCUAAGGCUGCCUGCAAGACACCAACCACAUCUGUAAGCUCAAGCACCCUCAAGCUAAGCCAUUCUGUUUUUCAACCCUGUGUUUUUCAGAAUUUUAUAUAUAGAGAUCUCUAGCAAAAUAUGGCAGGAUACUUCCCUCCCCUUCUGAACCACAUUUAAACAGGCAAGACCUCUAUUGAAAGCCUAAGUGGGCAGAGAAGUGGAAUGUUGGGGAACCAGAGGAGGGCCUUAGCAGACUGGUUUGUGAUGUUUGUGUCUAGAAUUCUCUGAAAAAAGUAAAGAUAGGGAAAAAAAUGUAGGUGCCUCCAGACUUCUAUCCCUGCUACAUGGUGCUAGUAGGUCUGGCUCUGCCAACAGUGGCUGGACAUAACCUCCACUCUGGGAAAAAAGCAUUGAGACCCAGCUUAGCGUCUCACUCUUAAGCACAAGAGCAUGAGGAAAUAUGACACAGAAGAAACCAAGGCAAUAAAGGAAAUGGAAGAAUAAGACUAGAAACCGAGAAAGCAAUACCAUCAAAGAUACCCAAAGUUGUUGCAGCCCCAAAACAAGAAGAUAAAGACCAUGAACGUAGAUUUCUUCCCAAUUAAAAAAAGAAAAAACAGCCAGGUGCUGGUGGCAUACUCCAUUAAUUCCAGCACUCAGGAGGCAGAAGCAGAUCUCUUGAGUUUGAGGCCAGCCUGGUCUACACAGUUCAGGACAGCCAGGGCUACACAGAGAAACUCUUGUUUCAAAAAUCAACCCCUCACCCCAAAACAAAAAAAAAAAAAAUCUGCAAAUGAGCAAUUCAAUAGGUUGUAAAAUAAAGUUGAGCUGGGUGUGAUGGCACCUUUGAUCCCAGAACUCCAGAGGCAGGGGCAAGGAGGAUCUCUGUGAGUUGGAGACCAGCCUGGUCUACCAUUCCAAGUAGUUCAAAGCAACUUCCAAGACAGCCAGAACUACGUAGAGAGAUUCUUUCUCAAAAUAAAACUAAAUACAAAAAAUCCCAUAAAGUUGAAAGUUGCAAGAAAACAAACUAUAAUAAUCACAUUGGUCAAUAGUCAAGACUUAGAAUGAGAUGGGCCCACUAGAGCCUCUGCAGACAGACAGACAGACAGACAGACAGACAGACAGACAGACAGACACACACACACACACACACACACACACACACACUGGAAGAUGUUGAGUGGGCUGGGUCUCACCACCACCACCAGGGGGAACCCCAGGCACCACCCUCUGAUAGUGAUGGACCUAGAUUUUCAGAAAAAUCUUUGGCAAGCCAAUAAAAAACUUUCAAACUCUCUGAGAUGUUAAAUCUGUCUUCUCUGGGGCUGGGGAUUUAGCUCAGUGGUAGAGCGCUUACCUAGGAAGCGCAAGGCCCUGGGUUCGGUCCCCAGCUCCGAAAAAAAGAACCAAAAAAAAAAAAAAAAAUCUGUCUUCUCUGGAAGAACAGCCAGAGGCCAUACUGCAUGGUGUGACAGUAUUUGGCUGCUUUCGAUAUCUUGUAAGUCAAGAAUGAAGAGUCAAUGAUUUUUUAGCAAAAACCUGGUCUACCUUUCCACUUAGUUCCAAGCAAAUUCCAAGACAGUCACGACUAGAUAGAGAAAUCCUGUCUCAGAAAAACAAAAAAACUGGUCAGGCUGGCCUUAAACUUGGAGAUCUACCUGUCUCUGCCUCCAGAGUGAUAGUGUUUACCACCACAGUGUGGACCAGGUUCUUGGAAUCCUGCUCAUGUAAGAUACCAGAACCCUAGGAAUUCAGAAUUGUUUUUGGAAAUAAGUUUUGUCUCCCUGCUCUACCAGAGGCCACACCUGCCAACAGAAGUCCGGAUGAGCGCCUAGGACACUUGUCAUCAGAGACACCUACCUCUACCAGCAGCCGAUGGAACAGAUGCGGAGGCCCACAGUCAAACAUUAGGUGGAGAGAGAGCCCAAAUUGGAGAUUUAUACCUACAGACUCAGCUAAGCAGGGCUCAUAGGGCCUAUGCUAGGCCCCCUGCGUAUAUGUUAUGGUUGUUAGCAUGGUGUUUUAUGGGACUCCUAAGAGUGGGGAUGGGGCUAUCUCUCUUUUGCCUGCUCUUGGGACCUUUUUUUUUUUUUUUUUUUUUUUUAACCUCCUGGGUUGCCUCGUCCAGCCCAGACAUGAGGGUGUGUGCCUGACUGUCAUAGCUAGUUAUGCUGUGUUGGGCUGAUAUCCCUGGGAGGCCUGCUCUUUUAUAAAAGAAAACAGGAGAGUGGAUGUGAUGGGGGAAGGGAGGCUGGGAGGGAUGGAAGAGGAAACUGUGAUUGGAACAUAUUGGAAACAAAAUUAAAUUAGAAAAAAGUCUUCACUGUGCCCUUGAGCCCCCUCAUGAGCGGCUCCUGCAUUAGUGUGGUUACCCAUAACCAUCUGAUAAAUAAAUGUAAAACAAGAGAAAACACAAAUCCAACAUCUCAAUAAUUUAUCCAAGAAAUGGAGAGAAAUCAAUAAACAAUUCAAGAAAAUGUCAUCCCCCCUUUUUUUAACUGUAGCAGGUCAUAGAUAAUUUCCAAAACACUAGGCAAAGAAAAGAUGAGGAGAAACAGAAGAGCUCUUACACAAAAGGUCAGAAUCCAGAAGCCUGGCAAUUCCAGGAACUAGAAGAAUGUAACAUGACACCCUUAAGUCCCGAGGAGAGAGGGUUUUCAGCUAAACAAAUGUCUUGUACCUCCUUACAUUUUCAAACGCCUAAGAUUCCAAUAAGGAUAAACAGGUCAAUUCCAUAAUUUCCCAUCCGCUUUUCUGUUCCUUUUCCUGUGGGGUAAAUGAAGAGGAAUGCACAGGAGCCAGAGAGAAGAGAGAGGCAUGCAGAUCCUGGUGCAGGGCAACGCACACCAAGAACCGAACCACAACACAAGAACAAGCAGCAGGCUCGGUCACUGUGCUGGGUCCUAAAUACUGAGAGGAGCCCAAAGACAAUGGCAAACACAUAACAGAGGAGCAGAGCUGGGGAGUGGCUCGGCAGUUAAGGGGGCUUGCCACCAAGCCUGAUAAUCUGGGUUAAAUCCCUGAGUCCACAUAGUCGGGGGGGGGGGGGGGGAACCUAACUCCUUCAGGUUGCUGACUGACCUCCUCAUGAGCUGUGGCACAACACACACACACACACACACACACACACACACACACACACCCCAUUUAAAAGAACUAAAAAGGAAAAUUAUUAACUUCAGAGAAAACAAAAAAAAUUGUGCAAUAGGCAAAAUACAAUGUAGGACAGGUUGUUCUCUGCUAAAACCUACACUGAUGGAACGGUAAUACUCAUCGGUGAUGCCCAUCAAACUGGGCUGAUGCUGGGACAGAAGGUUGGCAGGUGACUAGCCCUAAAGACUGCCACGAGGAGACACCUACCAUAUAAAACCCACUAAACAGGACUAAAAGCAUGCUUGUGCUUGUGGCUGGGCACAGUGGCACUUGCCUUUCAUUCCAGCACUAUGUGAAUCUGAAGCAAGCCUGGUCUAUGAAGUGAGUUCCAGGCCGUGACAGCUAUUCCUGGUUGUCAACCCGACUACAUCUGGAAUGAAUUACAAUCCAGAAAUGGAGGUUACAACUGUGAUCCAGAUCUUGAGACUGGAAGACACAGGCUUCCGACCCGGACCUUGGCAUGGAGAUCUUGAGGCAUAGUGGUCAUGAAAAGCUUAGGCCCAGGCAAGCUAAUGUAUACUUUUAAUCCCAGGAGACUGAGGCAAGCAGACCUCUGAGUUCAAGACCAGCAUGGGAUAAAGCAAGGCCAGCACAUCUGUUGGAACCUACUUCUUCAGGAAUCCAUCUUAUACAGAAGAGCAGCUGAAACUAGCCUUGUGGGUCUGAGCAACUACUAGAUUCUUGGACUUCCCAUUCAUAGGUGGCCACUGUUGGGUACUACAGACUAAGUCAUUGCAAUAAAUUCCCUUACUAUAUAGAGACAUUCCAUAAGUUCUGUGACUCUAGAGAACGCUGACUAAUACACAGGCUGAGGCUAUGAGAUUUGAAUUUGUGUUAAAUCAGGGUAGAAGAUUACUCACUGUUGACCUUGCCUGGCAAGUCAACUUUUAAAACACUAUGUUUGCAGUAAGGCACAGUGGCUUAUACCUAUAAUCACAGCACCGGCCUGGUCUGGAUUCUGAAUUCCAGGCAAAUAGGGCUGUAUCCUAAUGAUAAGCUGAACAGCCGGAUGGUGGCUCGUGCCUUUAAUCCCAGCACUUGAGAGGCAGAGGCAGGCAGAUGUCUGAGUUCAAGGUCAACCUUGUCUACAUAGUGAGUUCCAGGACAGCUAGGGCUACACAGAGAAACCCUAUCAUGAAAAAAUCAAAACCAAACCAAAAAAAUGCUAAAGUACAGCACUGGUGCUUACAAGUUCAGUUUAAUUAUCUGUACAAUCUGUUGUGGAUUUUAAAAAUAGACUAUGUCAGACCAUGCACAAUGAGAGUUCAUUUAAUUUAUUAAAUGUCCCAUGACAACUUUGCUUAAUAUAGGUUUUGGUUUGGGCUAAGGUGGCAUGGAAGGCAACAUAGUAACGACAUCCACCAUCCACGUCUACUCUCUAAGCACCAAGACCCAGGAUGAUUAGUCUCCAGAGCAAAAGGUACUGUGCAGAUGUGGUUAAUCUACAGACCCUGAGAAGGAUAUCAUCCCAGGUUACCCAGGUGGGUCCAACCAACUCACAAAAGGCCCCGAAACUCCCCAGCA